UGUGCCUACGGGACGCAGCAGUGAGGAAUAUUGGUCAAUGGGCGGGAGCCUGAACCAGCCAAGUCGCGUGAGGGAUGACGGCCCUACGGGUUGUAAACCUCUUUUGCCGGGGAGCAAAGAGCGGGACGCGUCCCGCCUCGAGAGUACCCGGAGAAAAAGCAUCGGCUAACUCCGUGCCAGCAGCCGCGGUAAUACGGAGGAUGCGAGCGUUAUCCGGAUUUAUUGGGUUUAAAGGGUGCGCAGGCGGAAGCGCAAGUCAGCGGUAAAAUUAAGAGGCUCAACCUCUUCCCGCCGUUGAAACUGCG
rnacentral:rRNA from 1 species